UGUGGGAGCGAGCCUGCUCGCGAUGCAGGCGGCUCGGUCUGUCUGUUGGACCAUGGAGAUCCCAUCGCGAGCAGGCUCGCUCCCACA
rnacentral:misc_RNA from 1 species